AUUGAACGCUGGCGGCAGGCCUAACACAUGCAAGUCGGGCGCGCGGCGGACGGGUGAGAAAAGUAUGGGGAUAUGCCUGACGGCGGGGGAUAAAUACUGGAAACGGUAGUUAUUACAGCACACCAGAAGAUGUACCCCUAUGGGAUUAGCUUGUGGGUGAGGUAACGGCUCACCUAGGCGACGCUCCCUAGCUGGUCUGAGAGGAUGAUCAGCCACACUGGGACUGAGACACGGCCCAGACUCCUACGGGAGGCAGCAGUGGGGAAUAUUGCACAAUGGGCGCAAGCCUGAUGCAGCCAUGCCGCGUGUAUGAAGAAGGCCUUCGGGUUGUAAAGUACUUUCAGUCGGGAGGCGUUACCGACAGAAGAAGCACCGGCUAACUCCGUGCCAGCAGCCGCGGUAAUAC
rnacentral:rRNA from 1 species